GGGUCCGCACAAGCGGUGGAACAUGUGGUUUAAUUCGACACUACGCGAGGAACCUUACCUAGGUUUGACAUGCUUAUGAUCGCUGUAGAAAUACAGUUUUCCAAAGUUUACUUUGGACAUUUGCACAGGUGCUGCA
rnacentral:rRNA from 1 species